CUGCUGGCCAGUGCUGCAGGUCUGCUGAGCAGGCCAUUGAACUCUGCUGGGUCUUAUUCCCUCAUAUGAAGCAGAUGCAGGAGCAGUGCCCCCUUCAUGGUGUCUACUGGACUCCAUCAGCUCAAGUUCCUGGCACACAAUAGAUCGCUC